rnacentral:lncRNA from 10 species
UUUUGUAUUUUUAGUAGAGAUGGGGUUUCACCAUAUUGGCCAGGCUGGUCUUGAGAUUCCUCCCCAUUUUUAAUGUCAAUCCCCCUACUUGUGUUCAGAUUCCCUUCAGCACUGUCAGAAAUCUCACCCUAUAGAUUAUCUUCUGGGUAUCUAUAACCUCUGUCCCCACUGGCUCAUUCCCAACAGCACUACAAGUGAAAGUCUUUUUCAUCUUAACACCGCUUCCCUAAGACAAAAAAAACAAAGAGCAUUUUCGCCCUACAUUCUCCCUAAUCUUUCCUCCUCUUCAAAUCCAAACUUUGGCUAUCUCUAAUUCCUUAUCUCCCACGUAUUUCUCAACUAAUUGCAAUCUUAUUUUUAUCGCACUACUGUAAAUCACACUAUUCUUCCAAUAUUACCAAUAUGUUCCUCAUCUGAUUUAAUCUGUCAGUAGCAUUCAACACAAUUGAUUACUCCCAUCCUCUUUAAAGCAAUCUUUUACAGGCUUCCAUUGUAUCAUAUAUUCCUGAUUUUCCUCUUUCUCUCCUUGGCUACAUCUUUUCAUCACCUUUAGCAGACUUUGCUUUCAUUUUUCUGUCCUAUUUAUCUUUGUCUUCAUGGUCUUGUUCUAUGUACUCCUUUCAAAUGCCACUUGUAUGUUAUGGGUUAAGUAUCCCUUAUCCAAAG